CGCGUAGGUGGUUUGUUAAGCGAGAUGUAGAAAGCCCCGGGCUUAACCUGGGAACGGCAUUUCGAACUGGCAGGCUAGAGUGUGGUAGAGGGUAGUGGAAUUUCCUGUGUAGCGGUGAAAUGCGUAGAUAUAGGAAGGAACACCAGUGGCGAAGGCGGCUACCUGGACCAACACUGACACUGAGGUGCGAAAGCGUGGGGAGCAAACA
rnacentral:rRNA from 1 species